rnacentral:lncRNA from 1 species
CUGCUGCAGGGGCGGCGGGCGCCCUGGGUGGGCCACGAGGCAGGGACAGCCGAGGCUCCGCGCUCACCCCACCCGCAAGGGGCCAAGCGCAGACUCAGGGGAGCCAGAGGGGCCGGACCGCUGAGCAAGGGCUGGGGAAGGAUCCCACGCUUGGAUACUUGGGAGUGAAGAUGUGUUAUUUCACCCACCGACUCGUUCCACACGACCAAGGCCUGUGCCUGCCCUGAGGGCGAGUUGGUUGAGCCUUGUACAGACAACUCUCAGAGCGUGGGCCUGGGCCGAACCUUUCCCUGUGAGCAGCAGCAUCAGCGUCUAGAACGACGGCCCUCCCGGUCCACGGUGGAAGGUGCGGAGCUCCCGUGGUGUGCUGGCAGCGAUUCGCAGAAGGGAGAUGGAGGGCCACAGGGCAGGUGCUCGCACGGAGUCAUCGAGGUCCAGGGACACCUUCCUCCCAGGAGUGUGUGUACAGUGAUCACUUGCUGCCAUAACACAGUCACAGAUCUACGUGUGUUCUCUGACUCUCAGCUGGGGCUCCAUCGGGGCCUGCUCUGGGCUCACCUGCGUGACCACUGGGCUCAGCUUCCUCGUCUGAGAAGCAUCAGGACUGGCCUUCCCACCCCCGCGUUCCCAGGGCUUCCACACUCCUUUCUAGCCAUGAGUCAGUCCUCAGUGGAUGACCAGUGGCCUGGGGUGGCCCUCUGAUUCUCUCACCUGUACUCAGGGGGCUGAACCUCACUCUUCUCUGCCAAAACCAACCAAUGAAUAAAUAAACAAACAAGCAUGGAAUUCCUAAAAAUGCAGGAUGCGCUUGCCGGCUGGCGAUACUCACAGUGGAGGCAGGAAGGGCAGCAUUCGCCUUCCACAAAGGAUGGACUGGCGCAGGUUGCAGGCGGGCAGGUGAUUUGGUGGCAAAUGGUUUUAAAUUUCUACAAGUGAAGAAAGGCAUGCAUGGAACACUCAUUUAAAAGGAGGGGACGCUGGUACAAGGGCUGAGACUAGAAGGGGUCGACAGAAUGGCUGAAUGUUUUCCAUCCUACGGACCAUACAUUACAGAGAUGUGAAAAUAAGGGCAUCUUUUUCUCCCAUUAGUGCUGACAGCCUAACAAGAACAGGGCCCCCAGAUGGCUCUUUGCAUCCAUUCCAUUCCUUUCUCCCUUCACUGAGCAGCAAGGAUGCAACAGAGAGCUCCAAGCUUCCUGGAAGGAGGGAAGAAAAGACGGGCAGCAGGAACUCCUGUUAUCUAAGGUAAUGCUGAGGCCAUUGUCAGCAGAAAUAGAGUAACAUUAAAAGCUAAAUUGUCUGUCUGUAAGACUUCAGGCAGUGGCUUGUAUUUCCCCCAAACGUUUCUGCUGAGCCUCAGGCUCUGUUGGAACCGGAUGGAAUUAAAUGCAGAGUCUAGGGCCAUGUCUGGCUUCUCUGUUCCUCCUGUUUCUAACCAACUGGGGACGCUGGCCAGGUUGCUCCCCCUCUCUGGGCUCUGGUUCUUUAUGUGCAAACAAAGAGGUUGAUUCAAGUCCUAAAUACGGUUCCUGGCCCUUCUGUGUUUCUUACACUGAAAUUUCCUCACAUAGCUGAACCGGUUUCACACAUCAGCACUGAACGCUGGCAUUUCCAGGCAGUCAGGUUCUGCCAAGUGUCCGAUGGUGGCCUCUUCCCCCAAGAGCCGUGUUCUGGGGCCUCACCUUGCAGGUACACGUGGUGCAGCUGUCCACCACCCACGUUUCAUUUUCCGCAAAGAACCGGCCAUCCUGCCAGCAAGCUGACAUGUUCCUUGUCUUAGGAGGGCCACCAAUGAGCUCCCAGAGAAACUGGUUAUCAUUCGACUGGAAAAUCAAGUGAAACAUUUAAGUGUAGACAAUAAUACUACAUAUUUAGUCAUCAUGCUUGUGGAUGAAAAACAAAGUUCCUCCUUCAUUAAAAAGCUCUAAAGUCAAGUAAGACUUGACUCAUCCCUGGGUGGAAGUUCCGGAAGUUGUCCUCCAUCCUCACGGGGCUUUCUGAGCCACAGCUUCGUCACUGCCUGGGCUUCUGGGGCUCCCCAUCCACCUGCCUUCCUGGAGAGCGGAAAUCGCGUGGCUCACAUCACACCUGGACCAGUGCAGAGCAACGCUGGGGCUCCUUCGACUGGGGACGCCAGGUGGGACUGGGGUGGGAACUAG